UACGUAGGGUGCAAGCGUUGUCCGGAAUUAUUGGGCGUAAAGAGCUCGUAGGCGGUCUGUCGCGUCUGCUGUGAAAACUCAGGGCUUAACCCUGAGCUUGCAGUGGGUACGGGCAGACUAGAGUGCGGUAGGGGAGACUGGAAUUCCUGGUGUAGCGGUGAAAUGCGCAGAUAUCAGGAGGAACACCGGUGGCGAAGGCGGGGUCUCUGGGCCGUAACUGACGCUGAGGAGCGAAAGCGUGGGGAGCGAACAGG
rnacentral:rRNA from 1 species